rnacentral:piRNA from 1 species
UAAUUUUAUUGACCAAGUGCAGGACACAUC